rnacentral:rRNA from 1 species
UACGGGGGGGGCAAGCGUUGUUCGGAAUUACUGGGCGUAAAGGGUUAGUAGGUGGCCAACUAAGUCAGACGUGAAAUCCCUCAGCUUAACUGGGGAACUGCGUCUGAGACUGAUUGGCUCGAGGACAGGAGAGGAACGCGGAAUUCCAGGUGUAGCGGUGAAAUGCGUAGAUAUCUGGAGGAACACCGGUGGCGAAGGCGGCGUUCUGGACUGUUUCUGACGCUGAAUAACGAAAGCCAGGGGAGCAAACGGG